CAAUCAUUCAUUGUAUAAUUUCAUGCUUCCUUGAAUUGCCUCCAUACAAUUUAAUUUCUUAUCUGCAUAGACAAAUAAUAGAUAUGAAACAUUUUUGGUUUCUUCAAUGCUUAUUCUUCCUUGCAAUGCUUCUCAUCCAUCCUUCCAUUGCUGGCAGAAUGAAUCCUCCAACUCCUCCUGCACCAGCUGGCCUUUUCAAGGAUCAACCAGUAAGGUCCCCGCCGCCCCCGGUGUUGCUUUUCCUCCAUCCCUCAGUUGUUCACAGGUCACUGAUGACUCCUGAUGAGGAAGAAAGAGGCCGUGAAUUUGAUCUGAAGAAAAAGUCUCCGCCGUCGCCAAGUCGAAGCAGAGGUUCACGCCCAUAAAGUCUGCUUGCAGAGUGAGGAACUUAAACAGUUUCGUACUUCAAUGUAUUCUUCAGCCAUGUGGCUAGAAUUUUCUUUUAGGUGCAAGACUUAAGUGCACUUUGAUUCUUAAUAUAUUGUGAUUGUAAGACUUAAGUUCACUUUUGAUUCUUAAUAUAUUGUGAUUGUAGGA